rnacentral:rRNA from 1 species
AUUGAACGCUGGCGGCAUGCCUUACACAUGCAAGUCGAACGGCAGCACGGGAGCAAUCCUGGUGGCGAGUGGCGAACGGGUGAGUAAUAUAUCGGAACGUGCCCAGUCGUGGGGAUAACGUAGCGAAAGCUACGCUAAUACCGCAUACGAUCUACGGAUGAAAGCGGGGGAUCGCAAGAUCUCGCGCGAUUGGAGCGGCCGAUAUCAGAUUAGGUAGUUGGUGAGGUAAAGGCUCACCAAGCCGACGAUCUGUAGCUGGUCUGAGAGGACGACCAGCCACACUGGGACUGAGACACGGCCCAGACUCCUACGGGAGGCCAGCAGUGGGGAAUUUUGGACAAUGGCGCAGCCUGAUCCAGCAAUGCCGCGUGCAGGAUGAA